AUCUUAAUUACCAGUUUGGACUCCAUUCUGACUGAAGAGAUGAAGUGAACAUUGGCUUUAAGUUUUCAAGUACACCCAGCUAAGCUACGCCUUCCAAACAUCAUACAUAAGGCAGGGAGUAUCCUGUUCAGUGUCAGAACAGAUGGCAGAAAGCUUGGAGGAAUUACUGCUUUGCAGGCAGGACAAAAGAACGAGAGCCCAAAUGCAGCCAGCCAGCUGAGAGCACACUGCUGCUCCUGCAAAGCUCUUCAAGGAGAAAUGCUGACACAGCCAUUUCCGGCACUAUUUGCUGCUGCAAGGAAUACUUAAGACCUGCAGAAGACCUGUUUUCAUGGAAACGUUGUCUACUAAGCAGUAGCAGACUGCUUCAUCUUAGACUUGAUCAUCACAGAGCGAAGAGGAAAACCUACAGCACUGAGAAACCUCCUUGCCUGCAACAGCCCACGUUCCUUUCUCAUGCUCAAAUGCCACUUUGUUCAUCAGUCAAAGGAAACUUUCUUGUGACCCUGUUGUAUGUUGCCCAGCAAAUCUGGAGGGCAGAAUGGAAUAUGAAGCAAAGAAAACAUGACAGCAGGAAAUGGAGGAGGAAAAGAUCUACCCGCCUUGAAAUGGGCUGAUGGACAAGUCUGAGA
ensembl:lncRNA